rnacentral:rRNA from 1 species
UACGUAGGCAGCAAGCGUUGUUCGGAGUUAUUGGGCGUAAAGAGCUCGUAGGCGGUUUGUCGCGUCUGCUGUGAAAACUGGAGGCUCAACCUCCAGCCUGCAGUGGGUACGGGCAGACUAGAGUGCGGUAGGGGAGAUUGGAAUUCCUGGUGUAGCGGUGGAAUGCGCAGAUAUCAGGAGGAACACCGAUGGCGAAGGCAGAUCUCUGGGCCGUAACUGACGCUGAGGAGCGAAAGCAUGGGGAGCGAACAGG